GAGGCGCGGGGGGAGGCGGCGGCGCCGCUGCAGCGGGGCGACGCGACGCGACGGCGAGGCCGCAGCGAGAUGUCGGCGGGCGCUCAGCUGCUCCCCGGCUGCCGUGCUUCUGGCUAACCAGCACCAGUUCUUCAGUGGCAAGCUUUAUGUCCUCCUCUAGUAGCUAAAGCUGCCAGUUGAAGAACUGUUGAAUGUAGCCACUCUCUUCUUGUCGCUGGGCUGUUGGACAUCAGCUAGAUCCGUGUCCUGAACAAGAUGAGAUGAGCGAGUCUGCAGCAUCUGAUGAAUUAACCCUUCUGCGGGCUGAGGAUGGGCCCUGCUGGGAAGAAGAACUCUCCUUGCAGCCUCCAAACCGAGCCUCGGCAGUGGGAAUGCUGGAAAGCCGUACUAGCAGGGCUGUGAAAUGGGGAGUGGGGUCACCACCAUGGGGUGACGCUUAACCAAGAGAACUAGAGAAGACCGUGACAGGCAUAUUAAACUCUGUUUUACUGUGCAGUACC